GGACAGCCGUGUGCACCGUGCGCUGGGCCGGGCGGGGAGCAGCUGAGGCCACGUUGGGGGACCCCGGGCCCGGGGCAGGGCUCUGGGAGAGUGGCCUAGCCGUGUGUGCGCCCCUAGCCCAGCGGCUUCACUCCCUCCCGAGGGCCCCGUGGCCGCGGCUUUAGGCGUCCAGAGGAUCGAUCGCCGCCAGACAUCCCUGGCCGUGAUUGCCCGAGCACUUGACCGCGAGGGAUGGGGGCGCCGCGGCCUCUGGGCAGGGGACUCCGGGCGCCCCGAGGGAGCAGCCGGGACCAGUGCCUCGCGGACGGAUUGUGCCCCGCUCCCCCAAGGGGGACCCGCGUCGACACGCUCCUCGGUCACCGUCCUCCUCCUGCCCGGGCGCCGCCUGCCUAAGGUGGCCCCAGAAAGCACAAACGGGUCGGGCGGAUCUGCCGCUGGCGCCGGCGCAGCCCUUCCCACGUGCUCCUUCCGGCUGAUUUAUUUCUCCACCACGAUGCCAGGCACGGGCACCCUGUGCCAAGCCUGGUUAAGCGCCAGGAGUCCAAAAUGCCUGCCAUAGUCCCUGCGCAAAGUUCACGGCCUCGUGCCAGGGACAGACAGCGCCCCCUCCCCACCCCAACACAGGGUGGUGAGUGCGAUGGCAGAAGGCGCGUGUCCCGGCGCCCCUCCUGGAGUAGGAGGGCUAAGCCUGCCCUGCGGGGAGACCGAAAGGCUGGGAGGGACCUAGGACUGUGGGGGCCUGGGGGGAGGGCUGCAGAAACCCCAGAGCAUGGUGGCAGAGGCAGGCACAGAAAGCAGGACAAAUCUCACACCUGACCCCAGCAAGCCUUUCCUGGCACACCUCUUGCCAAAUGCUGAGCACUCUGGAAACAGCCAGUGCAGGCGGCCUGUCCCGCCCCUGUAGCUGCUGCUGGGAGCCUCCCUCGCCUGCGUCCUCCCAGAAUCUGGCCUCACUUCUGCAGGCCUGGGGUAACAUCUUGGGGUCAGCGCCCCAGGAGAGGAGGCGCCUGGAGGCAGCAGAGAUGUUUAUGUAACAGCAGCCAGGCAGCCUGGAGGAGCAGAUUUUCCAUAGAAGGAAGCGCGGGGCUGUGCAGCUCCCAGGCUGAGGACUCUGCCCACCACGACGUCCUCUGCUCCUGAGAAGAGAGUGGCCCAUUCGGUGUCCACCCGUCAGGCCACCCAGCAGCCAGGCACGCUCAUAAGCCCGCGUUACGGAUGGUGCGGCCGGGUGCACAGGCCCGAGGGAAGCACAGGCCUCGGCCUCCCAGCUCCCAACCCCUGCACCACCCACAGCCGGGAGUACCCCAUGGACAGCUGUGGCCGAGGAGAAGCCAGGGAUGAGGGGGAUGGGCCUCACCUCCCCACCAGCCUGGGAAGGGGGUAGGCCCCUGGCAAGUAGGAGGGAAGCUGAGGCUCAGAGACAUCAUGAGGAUGCCAGCUCAAGGCCCAGCCAGGCCUUGGUCCUCAGCUGCUGUCAUCCAGUAGGACCACCUAGGAGUAGGGCCCCUUCACCGUUUGAAGCUGACUGUAAAAAACAUCUGACCUGUGUGCAAAGCUCAAGCCCAGAGGCCUCCAGGGUGUCCAGCCUCCAGGGUGCCUCCUACGCAGCCUCCACGUCCCCAUCCACUGCAGCCCCUGACCAUCGGGCACACCGUGGGGCCUUCGCUGGCCGCCGGGCCUCAGGUUCUGCUGCACCAAGUGAUUUUUAAAGCCCCAUCUGCCUUUCUCCACUUAUAAAGAACUUGGGACAUUUCCUCGAGGUUGGGCAUUUUUCCAGAUGUGGUUUCAGUGUCUCGCUUGCUACCUGGUCCCCUGUGCUGGGCGGUCCGCUGUGACGCACCUGGCAGUCCUUGCUCUAGGAUGGAUUCGGGCCGGCCCUUGUUCUGAGAACAGAGAACGGCCCUUGUUCUGAGGAGGCUGGGGUCUGGAAUCUGCUUCCUGGUCCCCUGCUGUGUGCAGACAGCCACCGUCACCCAGGCCCAGGGGUGCCUGCAGGUGCUGGGCAUCUCACCCUGGCCCCCACAGGGGCUCCCCAUGCCCUGCACCCCUCGGUCUGUGCCGGGGACUUCCCUGCUCUGCUGUUGCAGGCCUCGUCCUUUGCCGAGGGGGUCUCUUUCCCACGUGUCCCUGAGACUCCUCAGCCAUCCCAGAGGCUCUCGGCCGUCUGAGCACCCCUGACCAUGAAGCCUUCCUGGCCCACUCUCUGUGUGUGAGGCAGAGCCCAUCCCUACCAUUCCGACCCACACCAGAGGCUCCGGAAGGUUUGCUGACUGACCUGUGACUGCAAGAAGCUGAAGGAAUGUGGGCGCAGACCCGGCAGGGGCUUUUCUUGGUGCAAAGUCAACUGGCUGUCCAUGCAAGCCUGCUGCUGUGGCCAGCCCUCCCGCCAGGCGCCUGGUACCCUCCCUGGACCCAGUUGCCAGGACAGUGAUCCCCAGCUGUGGCCAGGACUCUGCCCGGGGCCCUGUCUACUCAGUGUCUCCAGUGGUCCCCAUGCAGAAACUGCCCCCCUUGCUGCCCAUGAGGCAUGGGAUAGGGUCAGCAUCCGAGAGGCAGGCCCUGCUGUUCCCCUCUGCACAGAGGCUGGGGGAGUGAGUUGCCCGGGCAAGUCCCCGGGCAGGCACUGGGCCUCCUGAGCAGGUGAGCUGAGAAGGCCCCAGCUGGUGUAGGCCUCGAGAGCUGCAGGACUGGCCAUGGGGCAGACCUGGCAUUGUCAUUCUAGAGCUGGGCCUGGGGGGUGGCUGGUGCAGUGCAGAUCUCAGGUGGAGGCCACCUGCCCGUCCUUUCCACGUGGCUCAGGGCUCAGACCCACCUGCCUGUCCCUGGAAGCCCCUAGACUGCUCAGAGCACAGACCUCAGUGGGAAAGACAGUAGAUAGGCCUGGGUAUGGUCUCCCAGCCCUGAGAAGUGGGGAGCCCACUCAGACCUUUCCAGGACCCCAGGUCCCCUCAGCAGCCCACAGAGCGUGGGUGGAGCCUGGGCUGGGGUUGGGUCACUUGGGAGCCAAAGGCCCAUUUCUGCUGCUUCCAGGGAGUCCCAGGGAGACGGCAGAGGCAGUGCCUGGCUGGGGCCCUGGUUGGCGUGCCGUUUGAGGGGUGCAUGCACUGGGAAGUUGGCCAGGCCUGCCCAAAUCAGGGGGCUUCCAGGAGGAGAGACAUCAGGAGGAUGGGCACAGAGGCGGCUUAGCACCAGGGCUGGCACCUCCAGGUAGGGGCUGUGGGGGGCUGGACCAGACAGGGAGGCUGUCACGAUGCCUGGCUGUUGGAUGGGGGCACAGAGGCUCUGAGUGGGGUGGCAGAGCUUGGCCACCAGGUCCAUCUGCACCCCCCAUGCCCCCUCACUACCCCCAGACCCCCAUGAUCCCAAACUACUCAGUCCCAGGGACCCCUGCAGAGCCUGUGGUGGGGGUGAUCUUCCACCCUGCCUGGCCCCUGCCCACCUCACCUCAGAACUUUCUCCAAAAAGUAAGAGCCCCGGGGGACGAAACUUCGAGGCUCCACCCCUUGGGCUCUGGUACAAACCCCGAGCCUCCUCCGAGGGCUGAGUCACUGGGAAAGCCGGGAUGGGCUGGCCCCUCCCCCUCCCUCUCCUUCCUUCCUCCUUCCCCCUUUCUCGGUCUCCCUCUUUUUCUCUUUGCUUUACUUCUCUUUCUUGCCUCCCUCUCUCCCUCUCUUCUUUCGUUCCUUUCAUCUUCUUCCCUUCCUCCGUCUUUGCCUUUCUUCUUUUCUGAGGGUAAAAAUAGCUGGAAAACCCCCUUAAAAAAGUUUAUUUUAAUCUUAGAGGGACAAUGUUGGUGUCCCAAAGCACAGUCCUUUGCCCCGGAGGAGCCACCGGCAGAGCCAGGAGCCCCUGAAGGACUUUGACCACACCCCCCACCCCACCCCGACCUGUGCCUGGUGCCCCAAGUGGAGCCUGGGCCAUCCUUGACCUCACCGCUGGGGUGAUGGAGAAGCAGCCGCCCGAGGCGAGAGUUUCUCAGGUGGCCGGGGUUUCCCCCCAUUUGCUCCAGACACAUUUAAACAAGCUGAGAACUUCCGUCCCCCCAUACUCCCCCCCGCGGACCCCCACGGACCCCCUCUGCAAAUGAACAUGGGCCUGGAAAUCGGGGUGUGGGUUACAGAGAGCACGGGGAAUUCUGCUCGUGAAGUAACACGGAGCACGAACAUAAGCAGGUACCGCACAUCUGCGAGCUAUUCGGGUCUCCGGGGGAAGGCAAAAAGCCCCAACAAGCCUUAAGUAAGACCAGGACGCUUCUAUAGUUUUGCUUUGACAGCUAAGGAAAAAAUCUGCCAAAAACCAGAGGCGCUGCUGAGUGUUGGCGUGGGAAUGCUAGUUUAGUCAGAGCCUUGCUCUGGGCCAUUUAAAUAAAAACAGACAUGUUGGUGGCAAAUGCCAGUUGAACACGCAGGAGAGCGGUGCUUCUCGGGCCCGGAGAAGGGUUUGCAGCUGCACUCUCUCUUCCCUUUUCUCUUGGCCUCCCCAGCCUUCUUAUCAUCACGAUCAGCAUUUCACUGGUAAACAUUUGGUGCAAUAAUUUUCAAAAAUCAGCAAGAAAAGUCUGAGCGUUUCAUGUGGCUGUGACUGCGUGGCCCCAGCUGGAAGCAUGGAUUCCCAGCGCCUCCCAGAGCCUGUCUCCGAGGGAUACUCUAAUCACUUGAGGGCCUUUGCACGACAUAAAUCAGACCGACUAUCUCUAGAGUGGAGAGGGGGAUAAACUCACUUGUAGCAAGUGAAGGCCAGAGGCUGCCCUGGGAUGGCAUUGCCUGUUCCCAGGGGCUUGUGGUGGUGCAGCAGACAUGGGGACCCCUGGGCCCCUUCCCCUCCUUGCUGGGGAUGCCACACAGACCCACGUUCAGGGACCUGAAUUCAGAGCCUGCCCCAGGGGUGGCGAAUGUAUCUGGGACACUGAGGACCCCCCUACCGGGUGCAUCUCAUGGCCUUUUGGUCUUUUUUUUUGAGACGGAGUCUCACUUUGUUGCCCAGGCUGGAGUGUCAUGGGGCGAUCUCCGCUCACUACCACCUCCGCCUCCCGGGUUCAAGCAAUUCUCCUGUCUCAGCCUCCGAGUAGCUGGGAUUACAGGUAUGUGCCACCACGCCAGCUAAUUUUUCUAUUUUUAAUAGAGAUAGGGUUUCACCAUGUUGGUCAGGCUGGUCUUGAACUCCUAACCUCGGGUGAUCUGCCUGCCUUGGCCUCCCGAAGUGUUGGGAUUACAGGCGUGAGCCACUGCACCUGGCCAGCCUUUUGGUCUUGAAGGGUCUCUGGGAGGGCCUCAGAGAAUGUCUUGGUUUCCUCACUCUUGGGUUCCCAUCGACUGAGGUCAGGGCUGGGAAGGGGUGAUGAGCCCAGGACUCUUCUGGCGAGAGCGAGGGUCUAUGUUGGGGGGCUCCCUUCUGCCACCUCUCCUUGGUGACAUGGGGCUGGCUGGAGAGUCCCUCCGUGCCUGGGAGUUCCUCAGUGUAGGGGGGGAAGGGGGCCACUGCAAUGAAUCUGACACCAGCCCCCUCUCUCUCCGCCCUGCUGGCAGCCCUCACUCAUAUGGGGGGCGGGUCUGUCCUCCUUUCCCCAAAGCUGGGGGUCCUGAGUGUGGUUGGGGUAACGUCUGGUCCUCCUUAGAACAGUGGGGCUUGGAAUUCAUUCAAGGGAAGAAGAGUGAAGGAACGCAGAUGCCGACUGCAUGGAGCCCCCCCGGGCUGCAGCCCCUAGAGCCUGGGCGCUCUGUGAGCCAGAAAGAGAACGGCUGGGGAGAGGGCUGUGUGAGGCCCUGUUCUUCCAAGACCGCUGCGGAGGACCGACGGGGCCCAGGGACCCUGACUGAGGUGUGCCGAGCACAGCAGCUCUGGACAGGCCGCACCGGCCUCUCUGUCUGUCAUCUGUCCACCUGUUGGUGGGCAGGAACAGACCUGAUGCUGUAAGAAGAGGCCCCCAGGACCCUGCCUCUCCCAUUGGCUGAGCCUGGACUGUGGAGCCAGCCGCCCUCACACUGGGCACAGAUGACCGACUUAGGUUUUGAGAAGAUCCAAACAGCAGCAGGACGUGCACCUGGUAGGGGUAGGAGGGCCUCCCCUGGACUCAAAAGUGUAUUCGCGGAGCCCCUUCCCUGCAGCGUAGGCUCUGGGGGGACAGUGGCCAGGACGGAGGCCCUCGUGGAAAGGGGGAGAUGUGAACAGUGAGCCUCCUGCAUGCAGGCAUCUGGGAAAGAACAUUCCAGCCAAGUGGCUCUGAGCACACCCCGACCCUGGCCACCCUGGCCCUGUGGACCAACCCUGGGGCCCAGGAUUAAUGACAGCCAGUGCUCGCUGGUGCCUCCAGCCUGGGCCAGGCCUGUGGGCUGGUCCCUUCAAUGAUGGGGCAAGCUCAGCCCCGUCCACACCCUUCUCCUCCUCCUCUGUGCUUCCCUCCACCCCCAGGAGUGGGCUCCAGGUCUGUCACUCGUCACUCAUGGGGGGCUGUGGGUUGACUCGUAUUCCCCCAAAAGACUCGCUGUAUACCCCCAGAGCUUGUGAGCAGGACCUGUUUUGGAGAUGGGUCUUUGCAGAUGUCGUCGAGUUAAGACAAGGCCAUGCUGGAGUGGGGCCUGCCCUAAUCCAACGACUGGGGCCCUUGGCAGGAGAGGGAGGUUUGGGGAGAAGGCGCUGGGAAGACAGGCAGAGGCUGGAGACAGUGCAGCCCCAAGCUGGGAGCACAGGGGUUGCCGGCACCCAACAGAAGCUGGAGGAGGUGGGAAGGAUCCUCCCUAGAGCCUUGGGAGGGGGCCCGGUCCUGUGACACCCAGAUUUUGGAUUUCUGGCCUUCGGAACUGAGAGAGCACACAUUUCUGCGGUUUGAAGCCACCAAAUUUUUGGUAAUUUGUUCUGGCCAGGAAAUUAAUACCAGGGAUAAAGGUGUUUUAAUGCAGACAAAGACAGUUUUUGAAUUAACCAAGCUUUGCGCAAGGCUGCCGGGAUUGACUGGGGGAAGUGAGGGACUCAGCAGCUUCCCCGACGCUCGCCAGGCACCGGCCUCCAUACACGCUUGCUGGCGGUGGCUACGGCAGGUCGCUCUUCAGGUGAAACCACAUAAUGAGCAGCCUUAAGCCUGUCGAUUUACACAGCAGAGGCUGCCUGGCCUGGCGCUCUUCCUGGCUGGAGGACUCUGCCUUCCCCCUCUGCCUGCCUGUGGCCACUCCGGCUGCAGAGGAGACUGGCAGACGACGUUCUCAUCCCUGGUCGGGGCAAAAGUUCUGCUCAAAUAUGACAACGGUGAAACUCGGAAUAGCGACAGAGCCAACCCAUGAUUGAGGCAGGGCUGGAGGCUUUCUGGAAAACGCACGGAGAAACACGAGGGCCCAGCUGUGCCCUGGGCCGCCCCAUGAGUCCAGCCUUCUUCGUCCUAGUCCCUUCUCCAAAGAAAGGACAAAACCACUGAAAGGGUUCGUCUGGGUCACAAACGUCCCAAAUUGGCUUCCGCGUGGAAACUAAACAAGGGUAGGUCCCAGCCCCUGGGAUUCAGGUGAAACCCGAGGCCUGUCUGAGGUCACAGCGUCUUCCCGAGGACGUCAGCCCUGUUGGCUGUGUCUGGGGCCAGGCUGAGGCAUAGCGGGCCAGGAGGCCGAGCUUCCCAAAGGAGCUGCACUGUCUUUUCCUUAGAAUAUGAAAUCAAUGUCUGCCACCUUGAAUCCUCAUGGACAAGACUCCUUGGAAGCCAGCCUGUGUCAGGGCCAGCGUCCCCCAGGGCUGACACCUACACCCUCGCAUUCUCAGCGUGACUCGGGACAGUGGCAGAACCCGCUGGGUUCUCUCUACGGGAGUGCUUUUUUUUUUUCUUUUCUUUUUUUUUUUUUUUUUUUUUUUUGAGUCGGAGUUUCACUCUUGUUGCCCAGGCUGGAGUACAAUGGUGUGAUCUCGGCUCACUGCAACCUCCACCUCCUGGGUUCAAGCAGUUCUCCUGUCUCAGCCUCCCGAGUAGCUGGGAUUACAGGUGCACACCACCAUGCCUGGCUAAUUUUUGUAUUUUUAGUAGAGAUGAGGUUUCACGGUGUUGGCCAAGCUGGUCUCGAACUCCUGACCUCAAGUGAUCCACCUGCCUUGGCCUCCCGAAGUGCUGGGAUUUCUGGCGUGAGCCACCGCACCCAGCUCGGAGUGCGUUAUGACUAGAGGCAAAGACAGCAGCAUGAUCUUCAGCUUGCAAAUGAGACACAGAAUGACAAUGAAUCUUCACCGAAGUUAACUUGAACCUGGAUGGAUGAGUGGCCGGGUCGCCAAAAAGCUCCUCGGACCCUGCCAGAGUGUGAGCUCUGCCAGGAGGGCCGGGGCUCCAGGAUCCCAGGCUGGGCAGUCACUGGCUCCCCCAGGAAGGGCCACAUUCCGGUGGGCAGACAGAGGGUUGGGGAGGGUGGUGGGCAGCCAGCCGCCUGGAUCCCGGCCGGGGCACCGUCCCGCAGAGCUUGUCCCGCACAGACUCAGUUUCCUAACCCAGCAAGUGGGAGUCCACUGUGAGAAGUCCAGCCCUACGCAGAUGCGUGCGAAUCCCCUAAGAGCCAUGCCUGAGCCCUUGGCGGAAGCAGUUGGCUCCUCGUGUCAUGCAAAGGGCGGCAUUUUCAUUCCUAACAGGGAGGUGGCCCCGGAGCAUCCAGUUCAAAGGAGCUAGGAUGAUCCAGGGUCCUCUCACGUGGGCCUUGGUGAGUGGCCACACCCUCUGAGACCCCCUUUCAUCCCCAUAGAAAGGUCCUAGCAGGGCUGUGCCAGGGGGAUCCGCGGGUGGCAGGGUGGCCCCAUCUGCAGUGGGCCCAGGAGGAUAGCAACAGGACUUAGCAGUGGUGGGAUUGUAUUUCUGGGCCCUUCUUCCCCCACAGCCCACAGCCUCCUGACGGGACCCCUCCCCCCAGAACCUGAAGGACGGACCUCAGGUGUGGAGCUCCCUCACCAGACAGAGGGGAGGAGCCCAGGUCCAUCUCCUCAAAGGGACCCACCAGCCCCUCACGCGGCUGCACACAAGGCAGUCCCAGCCAGGCCCCAGGUUGAGGCAGACUCAGCCUAUGUCCUCAAGAGGCUCCCUGGAGAAGGCAGGACCCAGAAGCUUCUCUCUCGGCUGACAUGGCCUUUGCGGGCAGCCUUCCCACCCACAUCCCCAGCAUGAGCCCCAGCUCCUUGGAGCCCAGAGUCCAAGAAAUGGCCUUUCUGCCACUGACCCCUCCCGUGGAAUGGCUCCUCCCGAGCAGGGAACCUCUGCUGGGACCCGUCAGCUGCAAGAAGGCCCGUCCCCGAGAGAGCCCUGCAGGGCAAGGGGAGAGGGACCCCGGGGUAGGGGUGGAGAGCAGCUGAGGGGACAGACACAGAGAAGACCAGGCAGGGGCAUAGCCUGCUGAUGGGGGAUGCCAUCCUCUCGGUCACAGCUGAGCCAGGGCAGCCUCUAAGCUUCCUAAGUGGGGAAACCAAGGCAGAGAACCCCAGGACUGGGGCCACCGCUGUGGUCAGCCGGUUGGGGGUGGCCUGGGCCUCUCCAGUCUCCACUCUUCCAUCCAGCUUCAUGGGGAGCAACAUUUUUUUCACCUCAAGGCCAAAUUAGGAAGAACAAACAUGUUUUAUUUAUCAGUGUCACUUUUUUUUUUUUUUGUUUUAGAGACAGGGGUCUCACUAUGUUGCCCAGGUUGGACUUGAAUUCCUGGGCUCAAACAAUCCUCCUGCCUCAGCCUCCCAAGUUACUAGGACUACAGGUGCACCACUUAGUUACAUUUUUUUUAUACACGUGAAAACAGCUUUUUUGCUGGGCGCAGUGGCUCACGCCUGUAAUCCUAGCCCUUGGGGAGGCCGAGGCAGGUGGAUCACCUGAGGUCAGGAGUUCGAGACCAGCCUGGCCAACAUGGUGAAACCCCGUCUCUACUAAAAAUACAAAAAUUAGCUGGGUGUGAUGAUGGGAGCCUGUAGUCCCAUCUACUCAGGAGGCUGAGGCAGGAGAGUGGCAUGAACCAGGGAGGCGGAGGUGGCAGUGAGCCGAGAUCGCGCCAUUGCACUCCAGCCUGGGUGACAGAGUGAAACUCCAUCUCAAAAAAAAAAAAAAAAAAGAAAAGAAAAAGAAAGUAGUUUUUUUUCCCCCUAUGCUAAAAAUUCAAACAAAGCAAACAAGCAAAUUUUUAGAGAAGAAAAUUCCAUUGGCCACAAUCUGUAGCAGGGAGAGCUGUUUUUUUUGUUUUGUUUUUGUUUUUUUUUUGAGGCAGAGUCUUGCUCUGUCACCCAGACUGGAAUGCAGUGGUGCAAU
rnacentral:lncRNA from 1 species